AUCUUCCAUCCAUUCACAAUCGAAAAUCAGGUUUAAAAUAGCCAUUAAAGAUCUUGACAUUCGGCCAUGGUGUUUUUGCUCAAAUAGAUUGAGAAAAAUGAGAUUCGGAUCUGGAACGGGAGGAAACAAAGUAUCGGAUUAGUCGACCUAAUUUGUCGUUACAGUGAACGAGUGUUUCGGACGUUUGCUCGAGUUGAAAGGCAACAGAGAUCGCAUCACACUAUUCGGCUAUUGAUUUUCGUAUUUUUUACACUUUGUGGGUUGGUUAUAUGGCAUGUAUAGGCUAUGGUCUUUUUAAUAUGGUUGUCAGAAAUGUAUAUGGUCGUUUGAAAUGGCUUAUUAAUGAUUUUGGGUUGAUGAUUAUAAUGUGGCCUUAUGUUUUGGCAUUGUUGGUAUAAAAUGUGUAUUUGGCUUAUGUUAUGUAUUUGUGGUUUGGCUUGGAAUGCAAAUGUGGUAACAAUGGGUUUAAGAAGUGUCAUGUGUUGGUAUGAGUUUGAGAUGA